rnacentral:lncRNA from 1 species
CUAGCAGUUGGUUCACCAGGAAGCUCAACGUAUCCUACAGAUUAUUGGCCAUUGUGGUAGGUUGAAAUUUUGGUUUCAAUUCUUCAUUCUCCCGUGAGAGAUUCGUGUCGUUUCCUCCUGGCCUUGCUCCCAUAUGAGUGAAGUGUAUUCUUCCUACUCUUUGACCUUGGGCUUGGACGUGUAGCUUGCUUUGAUAAUGGGAUGUUGGUGACACAAGCAGUGACCAGAAACAUGCCUGAAUGGUUCUGCUUGUCCUCUCAUGCUCCGUGCUCCACCGUAAACAGAACAUGCCCAGAAGAGCUGUUUCCCGUCAGCCUGGCCCCAGAACAAAGACCUGGAACAGACUUGAACUGGAGCUGGAGCCAGGAACCAAGGCCAGCCAACCCUCAGCCUGAAAGACAGAUUAGCCCUGAGCUAACUACUGCCAAUCCUCAUCUUCUUGCUUAGGAAGACUGGCCCUGAGCUAACAUCCGUGCCCAUCUUCCUCUACUUUAUAUGUGGGACGCCUACCACAGCAUGGUGUGCCAAGCGGUACCAUGUCCACACCUGGGAUCCGAACCGGCGAACC